UUAGCUUUGCUCUUGCUAUUC
ensembl:piRNA 21ur-4224 ncRNA